GCCAGUGUGGUGUUAUGGUUUUGACACUGGACUACAACCCUGGAGACCUGAGUUCGAAUCCCAACUCAGCCA